UUGUAGCUGAUGGGAAACAGGUCAAUAUUCCUGUACCGAUGACAAGUGCGAUGUGGGGACGGAGAAGGUUAGCUCAGCCAACUGUUGGAUAUGUUGGUUCAAGCCUGUAGUCGUGCUCGGUAGGCAAAUCCGCCGGGCUUAGAUGAGGGGUGAUAACGGGGGUGCUUGCACCUGAAGUGAGUGAUACCCUGCUUCCAGGAAAAGCCACUAAGCUUCAGCUUGUCAUUGACCGUACCGCAAACCGACACUGGUGCGCGAGAUGAGUAUUCUAAGGCGCUUGAGAGAACUCAGGAGAAGGAACUCGGCAAAUUGAUACCGUAACUUCGGGAGAAGGUAUGCUCCAAGUAGGUGAACUCGAACAGAGGGAGCCCAACGGGGUUGCAAAAAAUCGGUGGCUGCGACUGUUUAAUAAAAACACAGCACUCUGCAAACACGAAAGUGGACGUAUAGGGUGUGACGCCUGCCCGGUGCUGGAAGAUUAAAUGAUGGGGUGCAAGCUCUUGAUUGAAGUCCCAGUAAACGGCGGCCGUAACAAUAACGGUCCUAAGGUAGCGAAAUUCCUUGUCGGGUAAGUUCCGACCUGCACGAAUGGCGUAACGAUGGCCACACUGUCUCCUCCUGAGACUCAGCGAAGUUGAAAUGUUUGUGAUGAUGCAAUCUCCCCGCGGAAAGACGGAAAGACCCAUGAACCUUUACUGUAGCUUCGUAUUGGACUUUGAACAGAUCUGUGUAGGAUAGGUGGGAGGCUUUGAAGCGAGGUCGCUAGAUCUCGUGGAGCCAACGUUGAAAUACCACCCUGGUGUGUUUGAGGUUCUAACCUAGGUCCAUUAUCUGGAUCGGGGACAGUGCAUGGUAGGCAGUUUGACUGGGGCGGUCUCCUCCCAAAGCGUAACGGAGGAGUUCGAAGGUACGCUAGUUACGGUCGGACAUCGUGAUAAUAGUGCAAUGGCAUAAGCGUGCUUAACUGCGAGACUGACAAGUCGAGCAGAUACGAAAGUAGGACAUAGUGAUCCGGUGGUUCUGUAUGGAAGGGCCAUCGCUCAACGGAUAAAAGGUACUCUGGGGAUAACAGGCUGAUACCGCCCAAGAGUUCAUAUCGACGGCGGUGUUUGGCACCUCGAUGUCGGCUCAUCUCAUCCUGGGGCUGUAGCCGGUCCCAAGGGUAUGGCUGUUCGCCAUUUAAAGAGGUACGUGAGCUGGGUUUAAAACGUCGUGAGACAGUUUGGUCCCUACCUUCCGUGGGCGCUGCAGAUUUGAGGAAGCCUGCUCCUAGUACGAGAGGACCGGAGUGGACACACCUCUGGUGUAUCGGUUGUCACGCCAGUGGCAUUGCCGAGUAGCUAAGUGUGGAAGAGAUAACCGCUGAAAGCAUCUAAGCGGGAAACUCGUUUCAAGAUGAGAUCUGCCGGGGCCUUGAGCCCCCUAAAGAGUCGUUCAAGACCAGGACGUUGAUAGGUCAGGUGUGGAAGCGCAGUAAUGCGUUAAGCUAACUGAUACUAAUUGCUCGUGCGGCUUGACCUA
rnacentral:rRNA from 1 species